AUUACGUACCCGGUGUAUAAGACUGCCUAUUGCUGACCAGUACCAAUAGCAUUGCCAAAAUCUACUCUGCACAGUGUUUUUGAACACCCUGCCUUUUAUUGAACUUGCUAGGAUCAAUGCCAAUUAUUAGAUUUUAAUAAGAUUUAUUUCAUCAUCAAGAUACUGUUAGAUAUGCUAAUAGCUUCGAUCAUUUUAGGGCUUAGUCAAUGCCAUAUACUCAGUACAACCACACUGUAAUCAAACGCUAAACUAAAACUAAACACUAUAAACUAAACAAUUAAAAAUGUUUUUACAUGUCCAGUUAUGUGUUAGAGCUUUCUCACUUGAACUAUCUAGUUAUAUAAUACCUAAUUAUAUACCACCUAAUAACAUAAUACCUCACAUAUAUAAUGCCUUAGUGGUCUAUGUCAUCAUUCUUACACUUAAACAACCAGUUAAAGUGGCAAAUCAAAACACUGCAGAGGCAGGAAAUUACAGAGGUGGUUUGCUUUGGGUUUUUGGGUUUUUUUAAUAUAUAUGGUCUAAGAAUCACAUAUUAGUUGCAUGAUGACUCGUAAAGAUCACAGAUGCCUGUAAAGAUACAGAAUCAAGGAUGACAGCACUGUUUCAUCUGGUGUCAGAUAAUAGAGGACUGCAUCAAGUUUUAAUUUCUACACUCCUAACUAGGAAGAAUUCGGAGGAGACUUGCCAGAUAUUUUAAAGUUAAGAAACAGGUCUUUAAGGAAUAAUUUAGAAGACUUCAAUAUAAAGAUUUUAACAAAAAUGUAAAGAUUGGUAUUUAUUUAUAAAUUUUUGCACACAGGAGCUGAAGAAAAGCUGUUGCAGUACACUUCUACAUCUGUUAAAAAGUCAGUAUCAAGCACUCGGCUGUUACCCAACAAUGGUCUUGAGUCUUAAGAAGAAAUACACGAAUGAGAAUCACAAGGACAUCAAAAGUUUUGAAAGACAGCGAACUUCUGUAUCCACUAAAACCAGAUUAAAACAUAUCCUACUGAAGAAGAUGCAACAAUAGGCGCAAAGAAUAACCUGUAAAAUAAUCUUUCUGAGGUCCUUAAAGAAUUAGCUUGAAUCUCAGUUCUGUGCAUGCCGGAAAAAGCCUAGAAGGAAAUAGAGGCUGGCCAGCUGCGACCAAGUGUAACUUAGACUCAGCUACUCUAAAAGGAAGAGCCAACGAGAAAGCACUGGAGAGAUAAAGGCACUGGCACUGUGAAAACUUUGCUGAUGUUUCUGAAAAAAGUAGCAUCGGGUACAUCUGCUUAACAUUAAUGGUCACAGUGUCUUACAAGCCAAGAGAAGCAGCUUUUCAGGUUUGGGUAACACAAGUCUGAAGGCUGUUGCUGAGAUUUUGAACUACAUCUGAAGAUGAAAUAAAAACCUGCUCACAGGUAUGAGAUAAUGAAUCUGUUUUAGAGCUUCAGACAAUAACUACUAGAAGAGUUGUAGUGACAUUUUUAGUCACAAAGAACCAAAGCAGGUUAUGCAAAGUGCCUAAGACAGAGGAUGACAAUUAAAGUCCUAUAUGAAAGAAAGGAUAUUCUGGCUGUCCAUGAAGAAAAACAAACCCACCACCACAAACAAACCACACACGCUACUCUCUUCUGUAUGGUAGCAGUUUCUUUUUUUGCCAUGUUUUCAAGCUGAAAGAAGCUUAGAAUCUAAUACUGUAAAGCCCCUAUUCCCAUGAUAACAAUGUGAAACUGCUGGCCAUACGAUGUUCAAAAUGCCCAAAACCACAGCACAGUUAGAUGAAUACAUGAAGAACAGAUAUACUGAUGACAGUUAAACAUGACCAUCCAGAUUACGAUCCCAAGUAGGAAGUUCUGAUGCUGCUGACUGUUGGAAGGUGCACCUACUGAUAACAGAGAACAUGGCAAAUUUCCAAGACUGUCAAAACCAAACUUGUACUUCUAUAACCUCCUGAAAAAUAUAUUAUAUAAAUGCUACCUACCAAUCCAAAGGGUAGAUAUGGUCAAAUCUAGGAUGUUUUUCUAAGAAUCUGUAUUUUCACAGAGCAACAUAGGGAUUAAAAAGAUCAAAGAAAAAGUAAAUCUCCUUAGCUGCCACGGACUGUCAUAAACAAAGCAAAUUUAGCAUUUAAAAGGUGAACUGUUAAGAGCAUCUUCAAUCACUUUAAACAGACAUAUAGACUAGGAGAAGCCUUGUGUAGUCUUCUCCAGCAUAAGGAGGGGGCAAACAAAAUUUUAAUGUAGAAUACUUAUUCUAAACCAUUCUGAAGCAUCAGAUCUCCUGGUUACAUAUUAUGAGACCCAGCUAGCAAUAAACACUGGUAAUGGAGAAGUGGAGGAAUACAGAAGAGGAGUUACAUAAAGACCGAACUGACUGAGAACAUGAGGGAAGAAUGAAGAAAUGCUGUCAUAGAAGACCUAUAGAUAAACAGCUAAAAAGAUCAGAAAAUCCACUGCGAAACAUGAACAAUGCUAGCACCCAAGCAAUCAUUUUAGUUGUGCUAAUUUUAAAAUGUGGGGGAAACACAACAGACAGUGCUGAUCGUGCUGUGCAUCUCUCUGGGGAAUUUUUGUGCUUGGAUUUUUAAGGUGUAUGGGUUGUGCUUCAAGUGGGCCUUCAACAUUUAAAUGUGGUUGUAUUGCAGGGUUAAAUUGGUGAACUUGUGUUCUCUUGUCUUUCAUAAAAGUGUAAUUAGUUAUGCUA